AAGGAUAGAGGCGCGGUUUGUAAAAGUAUCCGCGGGUUUUGGCCCUCCACAGGCAUCGGCCCGCAGAAAAAGGACACACCGCCGAAGAUCUCAGCGCAUGUGGUACGCUUGGAUCUGGUUGCUGUGGCGAAAGCCCCGUAACUGUCAUCUGCAAUAGGAUGGAGUGCUAUCAG
rnacentral:ncRNA from 1 species